CCUACGGGAGGCUGCAGUGGGGAAUUUUGGACAAUGGGGGCAACCCUGAUCCAGCCAUGCCGCGUGAGUGAAGAAGGCCUUCGGGUUGUAAAGCUCUUUAGUUCGGGAGGAAAUCGUUAAUGUGAAUAAUGUUAAUGGAUGACAGUACCGAAAGAAUAAGCACCGGCUAACUACGUGCCAGCAGCCGCGGUAAUACGUAGGGUGCGAGCGUUAAUCGGAAUUACUGGGCGUAAAGAGUGCGUAGGUGGUUUGUUGCGCCAGAUGUGAAAUCCCCG
rnacentral:rRNA from 1 species